CCUACGGGGGGCAGCAGUGGGGAAUAUUGCACAAUGGGGGAAACCCUGAUGCAGCGACGCCGCGUGAGUGAGGAAGUAUUUCGGUAUGUAAAGCUCUAUCAGCAGGGAAGAAAAUGACGGUACCUGACUAAGAAGCCCCGGCUAACUACGUGCCAGCAGCCGCGGUAAUACGUAGGGGGCAAGCGUUAUCCGGAUUUACUGGGUGUAAAGGGAGCGUAGACGGACUUGCAAGUCUGAUGUGAAAAUCCGGGGCCCAACCCCGGAACUGCAUUGGAAACUGUAUAUCUAGAGUGUCGGAGAGGCAAGUGGAAUUCCUGGUGUAGCGGUGAAAUGCGUAGAUAUCAGGAGGAACACCAGUGGCGAAGGCGGCUUGCUGGACGAUGACUGACGUUGAGGCUCGAAAGCGUGGGGAGCAAACAGGAUUAGAUACCC
rnacentral:rRNA from 1 species